UUGUAGUGAAAAAAAUCACUGUAGAGGUAUGCCAGGCAGUUAAUUAAGACAAUGUUAUUUUUCUGGAAAUUUUUAAAAAAUAUGUCAGCUGUUCAAUUUUGUAAUUUGUUGUGAUUUCUCAUAAUAAGUAAAUGUUAACUUUUGUACAUAGUUGCUUGAAUUGUUCAUACUUUUUAAUAUUCUUUUUCUUAGAGUCCUCCAAAUUAUAAAUUUCAGUACCCAAAAUCCGGAUCUGUCCCUGAGGUCAUAAAAAGUAGGAGCUUUUGAGUUGCAAUUGGAAAGGGUUAAUAGGGAUGUGGAUGUGGUUGAGAACUGGGAAAUAUAGCAAUUGUGGAAGUUGAAUUAAUAUAAUUUGUAAAGACUACAACAUUAUGACCAUCUACUGAAAUCUGAAAAUCCAAGGUGUCCUCUGUACUAUGGGAUUAUGUGACCUCAAUGUCUGACUUCAUGGAAAAGCCUCACACAACAUAGGGGCCCCUCAUAAGGGGAGCCUCCAGCUGCUCUGUACAUUUCAAACAUCCAAAAUAGUGGCGCCUAGAGUAUCUAUAUUUGUAUUAUUAUUGAGCAGCAAAAACAGUUGGCUGGGUUAUUCACCCACAUGCAUACUUGAAUCUACCUCCUGCUUCCCAUCUGAAAAUAAAUAGCUGUUUUCUAUUUUCUAGUGACAAACAGGAUGUAGGCUGUUAGUAAUAAUAGUAAAGAUAAUAACUAUAAGGAACAGAACAUACAAAUAUUGAAAAGAAUUGGUGAAACCUCACUCACUCUCCCUCCCAGUUUGUUUCCUGAGCCCCAUUUCAGCGUCUGGACAGAACUGCCAGGGAGCUGCUAGACUUCAGGAUCUUGGGGGAGGGGAGGUGGAGAAUUUAGAGACAGGAGAGAAAAAAAGAAGACAGGAUCAAUUAACUCUAAAAGGCUGAUCCUCCCUGAUAAUCUGAGAAAGGCGAAUAAAUACUCUAGGAAGAUGAUACCCUUUCAGAUUGUCAGGUUGGGCUGGGGAUGGGCAACCCGGCUUCUGCUGAAGUGCUGUUGGGAGGGCUAAUUAGGGAUCCGAGCUCACUGUUAACACACGGGCCUCACUGGACAAAGGGCUGACGUGAAUUGAAGUCAGUAUAUAGUCUGAGUUCUCUUUCCAUCCUGAGCACCAUCUCCCUAUUGCCUUAGAGGCAGGCGGGAGUGCUUCUUGCUACUAAACAGAAAAGGAGGAGACUACUGUUGGCCGCGGAUCUGAAAAGGUUUGAAUGAUUACAGGCUAUCUGAAGGCGAAGCAGAAGAUCAUAACGCGUCCAAGACUGCGUUGACUAUACCCCUUUCCGGCCCCUACGCCGAUUUAUUUUAGGGGGAAAAAAAUGGUGGGCUUGGGGGAGGGAUCUGGGAUGGGAAUGGCCGUCAGUUUUGUGUACCGGGCCCCUAUUGUAUUGAAAGCAAGCUAGCUUCUCGCUCAGGGAAAGGGGAGGAGAAAAAUGUCCUGGCUCUCCGCAAGUCAAGUCGGUGUGAGGGGAGGAAUCACCUGCAAACCUGUGGAAUGGAAAACGGACACCGCAGCGGGUCUUGUACUGCAGUUCCCACAGCCACGCCCCCUGCCCAUUUUAAUUCAGAAAAUGGUGGGCAGUGGGGAAUGCUGGGGAGAUGAGCAGAAACCCUGUGUGGAUGUUAGCUUCCUAUUACAGAGGAUGUGGGAGUUUUGAGCGAAAGAUGGAAAAAGAGGGUUGCUGUGAGCUGACUGCAUCCUGAAGAUUACAGCUACUGUCAGGUGGACCUUUCCACACAGCUGUAUACCAUUCCAGUAACCCCUCCCUUACCUCCCACUCCCUCUGCUCCUCCCCACUUCCUUUCCUCUGGUCUCCUUUGCAGAGGGGUAGUAACACUAUGUUAUGCCCUGAAUUGUGCACCCACCCCUCCCCACACCCACCAAAUUCAUGUUGAAGUCCUAAUCCCCAAUACCUCAGCAUGUGACUGUAGUUGGAAAUAGGGUCUUUACAGAGAUAGCUAAAUUAAAUGAGGUCACUGGGGUGGGUCCUAAUCCAGUGACUAGUGUCCUUAGAAGAGAUUAGGACACAGAUACAGAGAAAAAGGCCAUGUGAUGACAGGGAGGACAGCUGUGUAGAAGUCAAAGAGAGAGGCCUCAAAAAAAAUCCUCUGGCAACACCUUGAUCUGACUUCCAACAUCCAGAACUGUGAGAAAAUAAAUUUAUUGUUUAAGCCACUCAGUCUCUGGUACUUUGUUAUGGCAGCCUGAGCCAGCUAAUAUACACCACAACCCUACCCCUCUGGUGACAACUCAGGGAAAAAAUUCUUUAACUCUCGUCAAAUCAUCCAUUUUUGAGUUCCAUUUAUUUAUUGCUUGGAUCUUGAAUGAUCCAGCAGAAUUACACAAUUCUUAUUUGCAUUUGUUCUUACUAUGUUUUCUAAAAUUUCUACAAUAACCACAGAAUACCAGCCUCAGUAACAUGAAAGGCACACUGCAAAUUACUUGCUUUGAAAUUUAGAAACAAAUUUUAUUUAAGAUCUGAAAUACAAUUCCUAAAAUAUCAACUUUUCCAGAAAACCGUGGCUACACAAUAAUGCAUUGCCUCUAUCAUGUUAGAACGUGCAUUAGACUCAAAUACAAAAACCAUGAAACAAAUCACCAUCCUUCAACAAUUUGAGCAAAGAUAGAAUGCUUAAGAACGACAUAGAUGGACUUGCAGAGGAUGGGCUGUUUUACUUCAAGCACCAUAAAAAAAAAA